CUUCUUGUUCGCGGCCAAAUUUUGCAUGGUAGCUUUCCUCCUCCUCAAUUUCCUGCAGAGCCUUAUCCAUUCUGGGUGAUUAACGAUGAUAAGGUUAAGCCUCAGGGCGAGUCUACCAAAUCGGCUUCUAUUUCCAAGAAGAGGAGUGCUGGCACAAGGGUCGAGGAGGAUCAGGGGAAGAAAUUCCCUAGGCGCGAGGAUGAAGAUCUUGGAGGGUCCGAUACUCGUGGUA